AGCGGCCGCGGUAAUUCCAGCUCCAAUAGCGUAUAUUAAAGUUGUUGCAGUUAAAAAGCUCGUAGUUGAAUUUCGGGAUCAAGUCGUCGGUCGUGCUCAAGUACGUACUGGCGUCAUUGAUUUCUCCCUUCUGACGAACCAUGAUGUCAUUAAUUUGGUGUCGCAGGGAAUCAGGACUGUUACUUUGAAAAAUUGAGUGUUUAAAGCAGGCUCACGCUUGAAUACAUUAGCAUGGAAUAAUGAAAUAGGACGUUUGAUCCUAUUUUGUUGGUUUCUAGGAUUGACGUAAUGAUUAAUAGGGAUAGUUGGGGGCAUUAGUAUUCAAUUGUCAGAGGUGAAAUUCUUGGAUUUAUUGAAGACUAACUACUGCGAAAGCAUUUGCCAAGGAUGUUUUCAUUAAUCAAGACGAAAGUUAGGGGAUCGAAGACGAUCAGAUACCGUCGUAGUCUUAACCAUAAACUAUGCCGACUAGGGAUCGGAUGAUGUUAAUUUUAUGA
rnacentral:misc_RNA from 1 species